rnacentral:lncRNA from 1 species
AAAAAGAGUUCUAGCUACUGGCCUGCAUGUGGUGUCUCUGAGAGUCUGUUAGUUUAAGGACAGCAGAUUCUUACACUGCUGCUUAUACCCCUGCUGUCUCUGGAAACUCUGUCCAAACCGAGACUUCCUGGGGCAUUAGAGCAGGACCAGGGAAAGGGCUCAGCGGGCUGGAUAGACGGCCCGGGCCACGGAACGCCACCCGUGUGCCAUCCCACCCCCAAGUCAAGGGCUCCCUCCGCCAGGUGAUCUGCCCUCGAAAUUAGGGGCCCUUUAAAACAUAAACUUGUUUGUUCUUAUCAUGCAAGUGACACAUGGUAGUGAUAGAAAAACUGGAGAAAAAAAAGUGAUAAGAUAAAAAGAAACAAAGGAACAUUUCUCCCUAAUACUCACUCUACCUGCAGGUAAAGAUGUUGCUAAUUCUGAUCUCUCCCUCCAACCACUUCACACACACAGAUGGAGCUGUGUCUUGUUUGUUCACUGUGAUAAUUCCCAUAUCUAGUGCUGUGCCUUCCUAAUAAGGAGAAUCAUCCAUUCAAAUAGUGAGUAAGGAAUGGAAUGGCACAGCACAGGCAGUGCCCAGGACCCUCCAAGCGCCCGGUGAGAAAUCCUGUGUGCAAGGCACCCGGGCAUAAAUGAGGCUGCUUGCAGCUGGAGAUGGAAAGCUAGACCUCCUUGGAUGCCAGAGCCCUGCUUCACCAUCUUAUCUCAGCUGCAUCUCACAACGCAGUGUGGGGAAGCCCGGGUGCAGCUCUUCACAGCACUUGGCUUUGGAGUCAGACUUUUGCCUUCAGUCUUGGCUCAGAGACUUACUAGGCUUCUGAGUUUCAAUAAAUGUCAGAUGCAAUCACCUCAUCACCUGGGUUCUGUUCUCCCAAGAUGGCAUCUUCUUUCCACCAGAGGAUCCAGCUUGGCUGCUCAGUGACUUUCCUAAGCCCUGGUUCCGGGACAGUAAGUGUCCUCCUUGAUGUGUGAGCCUGAACCUGGGUCCACAAACCUGAAAUGGGAUGUGUUUCACUUUGGAUCACCCUCAUAGUUAUAAAUUGGGUUCAUCUGGGGAAACAGCAAAAGGAGAAGAAUGAGAGUGGUUAAGCGUUUUAUGUUUUACAACAAGCUAUCGUGAUAGAGUAAAUGAGACAUUGAUCAUUCUUAUGUGGUUUUUCAAAGUGUAUCUUAGAACCGUUCCAAAAACAGAGCUCCAGAGUGUUUUAAGAAAUGCCACCCCUGUGAGGAUGCUGCAUCUCCCACAGUAUCUGAUCUGCAGGGUAAUCCUCAUUUGGAUGUGUCAGCUACGGCCAGUUUAUCAAAAAGCAUAUGUCGUCAUCGUAACAAGGUCCAGCUGCGACCCUUUCAGAAAUACCCAGUCACCUUGCUUUGGGAACAUAAAAUAAUGUUUGUCUGGGGUCGAGUCCCUCUUGCUGUCACACAGAUUUACUGUCUAAGAGCAUUGGGGGCCCAUGCCCAUUAAAUAUGGGGUUUGUCUUGCUCAGACCCAAACAGAGCCUAGGGUGACCCUGCUCUAGGGUGAAAGGGACAUGGAACAAUUUUCAGGCUUCUAUGAAAAGUCUAACUAUGAUCACCAGCAAUGAGAGGCCAGGAUAACUCUUCAAAUCUUUUUUGUCUUUUGUGUCAUAGAGUUGGCAAUCAAUCAUUUGUAGUACGAUUUGGAAACUUGCUAUGAAUGUUGUAAGAGAAACAAUUUCCUUCAGAGUCAGGUGUUUGGACAAAAGGACCACAGUAUCUUGGAUUUGAGAUGGGGAGAAAGGAGAAGAGACACCCCACUAGGCGAACUCUUCCAAGCGUAAUGAAGAAUGAGGCAAAACUCCCAGUGUCCCCCAACAACAGGUCAAAAUCCUUCAUUCAUUCAUUCAUUUCUUCACUGAUCACUCCCUAGUUGAAAUAUACUUGCCAAAGCCACAUCUCUUACCAAAAAAAAAUCCUCAUUAUAUAAAAAUCUUCUAGAGCUUAGAGACCUAGGUCUUGAUUGGCUGAACUAACCAGCAAAAUGACACUGCCCCCAUCCUGAGAAGGAAAGAGUUUUUGCCUAAAUGUCUUCAUCACAGGCACUGAAAGAACCCCUCGCGUGUGCGGGCAUUAUUCUCUGGGAUGUCAAGGAAGUUUAAGAGGACGUGAUGGGGAUGGGGAGAUUGUGCAUAUGUGGAUUUGGAAGGUAAGAGCCUGGCCUGAUAAGCACAUGCCAGGGGUGGGAAAUACGGUGCUUGUACGAGGACCACCUGUCCUUCAGUCCAGCUGCCUGCAGGUGUGAAUAUCAGCAGAGGGCAAAGAUGUGGGGAGCGACAUAAAACUUCAGGGUUUUGAACUCUGCUUUGUAGUCGUUUAGGAUUCUUUAGGAAAGAUAAUUUUUUAUGGCUAUUCUUUUUCAUAUACACUAUUUUUUUUUUAUCAGAGUAUACUUGAUUUGGUGUUGUGUCGAUUUCUAUGGCACAGCUUUUUUUUUUUUUUUUUUUUUUUGACAGAAGGUCCAUGCUUUAGGAGCUGUUGUAUUUGUGUUUGUUUGUUUAAAUGAUGCUGGAAUGUUUGGAAUACCCCCUGUAGCUCCUGGCCACUGGGAGAGCAUUGGAGCCCAGAUGGUGGCGGCAGAAGUGGCAGCUCUAACUGGAACAGAGCUUGAAGCACAGUGCGUUGGAAGAGUCUCAGAGUAUCUUUUCCCAUUUAGAUGUUUUAUUCCCUUUUUAAAUACUCUACAGUGAAAACUAAAUGUGGCUUUUCAUUCGCCAGACAAGAUUGUCUCUUUUAAGGGGACCUUGUCACCCGCCUUCAUACAUACCCCUGGUUCUACGUCAAAACCCUCCCCAUCCCACCCCACCCACUUAUAUCCUACUUGCCCGCAUCAUCCUCAGUGAUGAGACCCCAGAUUGGAGGCACAGAAUGGGAGGAUUGAGAGUGGGGGGGCCUGAACUGGUGAAUCUCGGUGGGUCAAGGAGCAACCCACACCCACGGGUGAAGAACUGGGAUGUUCAGAGCAAGAUGGGGCCUCAGAGGAUAAAGGCACAUCCAGCUGGUGGCAGAGGAGAGAGGCUCCUCCCAGGGGGGCCCCGUGACACCCCUCCACUGGCUUCUGGAGGCUGGGGGGACCCAGCUGCCUUGCCACCCUGUCCCUAGCAGAUAAGCCAGUGGGAGGGGGCAGGGGGGACAGGGAUGCAUAGAAUUGGGCAGCAAGUGAGAUGGAGAGGAAGGGUAUGGGCUAGAAGUUUGAUGAAAUCCUCUGCAGGGCCCUAGACAGCGGCUUGGGACCCCAGACACCUGGCUCCCCAUCCUACCUGGUUGUUGGAAGGAGCUGAGGCUGACGUGGCAGCUGGGGAGAUGCUCAGCUUGUGCAGGAGCUGCUGCAGGAUCCAGAAGCAGACAGAAGGCGGACAGCCCGUGAGUAACUCAUGCUCAGGCAAAGGCUCUCAUCCAGGUUAUCAGCAAAUUUUAUCGACAGUCUGGGGCCUCUGAGGACAUACUCCCGUACUUCUAGCACAGGCCAGGCUCUUUUCCUGGCUAUCACCAUCCCUUGCUGGAAGGUGUCUGGGCCUGAAGCAUUCUCAGAAGUCCCCCUACUGCCACCAGAGAUGUCUGUGGAGUUGGUCCCAGAGUGGACUCAGGAACCCACAUCUGCAGCAGCUUCUGUUGUGUUUUCCUAGGAAAACCAGGCUGUGGAGAAAAGCAGGGACAAGUUAUCUGAGAGAAGACCCUUGACAAGAUAAACGCUGGCUUUGUGCAUUGGCUUCUGAGCACCUGGAAGGAUCUCAGAAGAACAGGUCUGCCUCGCUGCAUACUUUAUUUGCAAGGACGUCAGGAGGAAAUGCACACAAUGCCCAGCAGCCCUAUUGAAAGGGGAAAGCGGGAGCCGUCCAGGAACGGGUGCUGGUCUACAGAAUGAUUGUUGCUGCUGCACAAAGAAAUACAUAGGGAAAUAUUGAGCCAGUGUUCAGAAACAUUCACAGUGACUUGAUGCGGCUGCAGUGUUCAAGCAGCGGAUCAGGAGAUCUGUCUCCCUGGACAGAUAAAACCACGGUCUGCAACAAACUGGAAAUGAAAGCAACAACAAUGCAUACAAACAGAAUGCCAAAAGAGACCCUUCACGGCAGCCAGCUUUAACAGCGGGGCUGUGGAGAGCACAGUGGGCAGGAGACUGGACUUCAGCGCUUAUCAUCAACUGCACUGAGUGCCCGCUGUGGGGCAGCAGCCAAGGGAGGAGGAUCCAUAUUGUCCUCAAGGGGUUCACGGUGUGGUUGGGAAAGUAGACAGGCCAGCGACACCUGUAACCCAAGUGGACAGAUGCUAGGAUGGUGCUUACUCUAGUUCGCAGCCCAGCACCUCCAAAGCAAGAAUGCUCUUCUUGGCCCCGGGAUGCCUGGGGGGUGAUGAUGGCAGUGUCCAUUUAUUGAGCACUUACAUUCUGCCAUACCCUAAAUUUAAAACUUUACAUGCGGGACUUAUUUAUCCCCACAAGGACCCUCUGGGAUGGGUACCUUAUUGUCAGUUUCAAUUGACAGACGUGGACCUUGGGGCUCAGAGAGGAUUAAAAUUGUUAUUCAGGAUCAUAGAUUUCAUAAAUAGAACAACCAGAAUUCACUGAUCCCCUGGCUUCAGGGCUCAAAUCCUUAACCCUACCUCCACUGCCUUUAAUUGAUCCGUUGUCCUUACCUAUUUACUGAGGGGAAAAGACUAGGAAUUUCUGGAAGAUGUUGCCUCUUUAGCAGAUUACAAACGGUUGGCUCAGGAGUUCCCGCUGUGGCGCAACAGGAUCAGCAAUGUCUUGGGAGCACUGGGACACAGAUUCAAUUCCCUGCCUGGCGUAGAGUGUCAAGGAUCCGGCGUUUGCCACAGCUGUGGCUUAGGUCGCAACUGCAGCUCAGAUCUGAUCCCUGG